rnacentral:rRNA from 1 species
GACGUAGGGCGCGAGCGUUGUCCGGAUUUAUUGGGCGUAAAGAGCUCGUAGGCGGUCUGUCGCGUCGGCUGUGAAAACCCGAGGCUCAACCUCGGGCCUGCAGUCGAUACGGGCAGACUAGAGUGCUGUAGGGGAGACUGGAAUUCCUGGUGUAGCGGUGAAAUGCGCAGAUAUCAGGAGGAACACCGGUGGCGAAGGCGGGUCUCUGGGCAGUAACUGACGCUGAGGAGCGAAAGCGUGGGGAGCAAACAGG